GAUGAACGCUGGCGGCGUGCUUAACACAUGCAAGUCGAACGAAGCGACUGGGAUUGAGACUUCGGUUGAUCGAACAGUUGACUUAGUGGCGGACGGGUGAGUAACGCGUGGGUAACCUGCCUUACACAGGGGGAUAACAGUUAGAAAUGACUGCUAAUACCGCAUAACCCGCUAGGGCCGCAUGGCCCGGACGGAAAAGAUUUAUCGGUGUAAGAUGGACCCGCGUCUGAUUAGCUGGUUGGUGAGGUAACGGCCCACCAAGGCGACGAUCAGUAGCCGGCCUGAGAGGGUGAACGGCCACAUUGGGACUGAGACACGGCCCAA
rnacentral:rRNA from 1 species